AUUUUUCUCUGGAUUUAUACGUGGUCUUGGUGUCAACUUCCUAAAGCAUCCUACCUAGAGUUACUCGUGUUUUCUGAGGAAUCUUCCCCGGGUACAGGUUAAUUAGAUCUCGAGGCUAGAUUUUUGUAGGCCUAAAAACAAUGAUGGCGUUGUUUAUAUAGCUGUGAAGGUGGAUCGAAUGUUGCUGCUGUUUAUAAAAUCAUGCGAGGCAGCACGGAACAGAUUUAGACUAUAAUUUGAGUGGAACAUUCUACUUAAAACACUUUCUAAUUUGGCAUAUUUGCCUCCACAUGACAGACAACCAUAGCCUAAACAUUGACUUGUCAUUACCUGAAUGUGUCACCAGCUAGUUAGCUAGCCUCUGGUUAGAUUGAUUGCAACAGCUUGGUGGUGAAUGAAUGUCAGAUAACCAUGAAUGUUUGUAGUAGAAAACGUAUUGCUGAAUCCAAAUCCGGAUUACAGUUUUCACAUUUUGAGAAAGGAGAAGAAUGCCAUUCUUUCGCGAGCAUUCUUUGGUGUGCCCGCGGUGGCCUCAGAACACGGGCAUCAUCUUGGGACCCAUGAAAUGUAGUCAACUCUGCGUGUGAAUAAUGAGCGUGUGGAACUGUUGGAGCUGGUCCUUCACAUAGGGGAAGAGUUGCUGAAAUGCGGACAAAAAGUGUCUGCUGAAAUUACGCCCAGAGAGACACUGAAACAAGCCCAAGUGUUUGGUGGCUCCUCUACGCGUUAAGGCACUGAGGUGUCUGUUGUUCUGGGCCUCCCAGGGUGGUCAGAUUCCUAAGGGCUGGAGUGAAAUGAACAGCAUCAGGGACACUCACGGUACCACUGCAGUCUACCAGCCUCCGGACCAGUUCGACCCGGACCAGUUCGACCAGGACCAGUUCGACCUGGACCAGUUCGACCAGGACCAGUUCGACCAGGACCAAUUCCACCCAGACCAGUUCGACCCGG
ensembl:lncRNA